GAUUAAGUUAUUAAGGGCGCACGGUGGAUGCCUUGGCACUAGAAGCCGAUGAAGGACGUUACUAACGACGAUAUGCUUUGGGGAGCUGUAAGUAAGCUUUGAUCCAGAGAUUUCCGAAUGGGGAAACCCAGCAUGAGUUAUGUCAUGUUAUCGAUAUGUGAAUACAUAGCAUAUCAGAAGGCACACCCGGAGAACUGAAACAUCUUAGUACCCGGAGGAAGAGAAAGAAAAUUCGAUCCCCUUAGUAGCGGCGAGCGAAACGGGAAGAGCCCAAACCAACAAGCUUGCUUGUUGGGGUUGUAGGACACUCUAUACGGAGUUACAAAGGACGACAUUAGACGAAUCAUCUGGAAAGAUGAAUCAAAGAAGGUAAUAAUCCUGUAGUCGAAAAUGUUGUCUCUCUUGAGUGGAUCCUGAGUACGACGGAGCACGUGAAAUUCCGUCGGAAUCUGGGAGGACCAUCUCCUAAGGCUAAAUACUCUCUAGUGACCGAUAGUGAACCAGUACCGUGAGGGAAAGGUGAAAAGCACCCCGGAAGGGGAGUGAAAUAGAACCUGAAACCGUGUGCUUACAAGUAGUCAGAGCCCGUUAAUGGGUGAUGGCGUGCCUUUUGUAGAAUGAACCGGCGAGUUACGAUUUGAUGCAAGGUUAAGCAGUAAAUGUGGAGCCGUAGCGAAAGCGAGUCUGAAUAGGGCGUUUAGUAUUUGGUCGUAGACCCGAAACCAGGUGAUCUACCCUUGGUCAGGUUGAAGUUCAGGUAACACUGAAUGGAGGACCGAACCGACUUACGUUGAAAAGUGAGCGGAUGAACUGAGGGUAGCGGAGAAAUUCCAAUCGAACCUGGAGAUAGCUGGUUCUCUCCGAAAUAGCUUUAGGGCUAGCCUCAAGUGAUGAUUAUUGGAGGUAGAGCACUGUUUGGACGAGGGGCCCCUCUCGGGUUACCGAAUUCAGACAAACUCCGAAUGCCAAUUAAUUUAACUUGGGAGUCAGAACAUGGGUGAUAAGGUCCGUGUUCGAAAGGGAAACAGCCCAGACCACCAGCUAAGGUCCCAAAAUAUAUGUUAAGUGGAAAAGGAUGUGGCGUUGCCCAGACAACUAGGAUGUUGGCUUAGAAGCAGCCAUCAUUUAAAGAGUGCGUAAUAGCUCACUAGUCGAGUGACACUGCGCCGAAAAUGUACCGGGGCUAAACAUAUUACCGAAGCUGUGGAUUGUCCUUUGGACAAUGGUAGGAGAGCGUUCUAAGGGCGUUGAAGCAUGAUCGUAAGAACAUGUGGAGCGCUUAGAAGUGAGAAUGCCGGUGUGAGUAGCGAAAGACGGGUGAGAAUCCCGUCCACCGAUUGACUAAGGUUUCCAGAGGAAGGCUCGUCCGCUCUGGGUUAGUCGGGUCCUAAGCUGAGGCCGACAGGCGUAGGCGAUGGAUAACAGGUUGAUAUUCCUGUACCACCUAUAAUCGUUUUAAUCGAUGGGGGGACGCAGUAGGAUAGGCGAAGCGUGCGAUUGGAUUGCACGUCUAAGCAGUAAGGCUGAGUAUUAGGCAAAUCCGGUACUCGUUAAGGCUGAGCUGUGAUGGGGAGAAGACAUUGUGUCUUCGAGUCGUUGAUUUCACACUGCCGAGAAAAGCCUCUAGAUAGAAAAUAGGUGCCCGUACCGCAAACCGACACAGGUAGUCAAGAUGAGAAUUCUAAGGUGAGCGAGCGAACUCUCGUUAAGGAACUCGGCAAAAUGACCCCGUAACUUCGGGAGAAGGGGUGCUCUUUAGGGUUAACGCCCAGAAGAGCCGCAGUGAAUAGGCCCAAGCGACUGUUUAUCAAAAACACAGGUCUCUGCUAAACCGUAAGGUGAUGUAUAGGGGCUGACGCCUGCCCGGUGCUGGAAGGUUAAGAGGAGUGGUUAGCUUCUGCGAAGCUACGAAUCGAAGCCCCAGUAAACGGCGGCCGUAACUAUAACGGUCCUAAGGUAGCGAAAUUCCUUGUCGGGUAAGUUCCGACCCGCACGAAAGGCGUAACGAUUUGGGCACUGUCUCAACGAGAGACUCGGUGAAAUCAUAGUACCUGUGAAGAUGCAGGUUACCCGCGACAGGACGGAAAGACCCCGUGGAGCUUUACUGUAGCCUGAUAUUGAAAUUCGGCACAGCUUGUACAGGAUAGGUAGGAGCCUUUGAAACGUGAGCGCUAGCUUACGUGGAGGCGCUGGUGGGAUACUACCCUAGCUGUGUUGGCUUUCUAACCCGCACCACUUAUCGUGGUGGGAGACAGUGUCAGGCGGGCAGUUUGACUGGGGCGGUCGCCUCCUAAAAGGUAACGGAGGCGCUCAAAGGUUCCCUCAGAAUGGUUGGAAAUCAUUCAUAGAGUGUAAAGGCAUAAGGGAGCUUGACUGCGAGACCUACAAGUCGAGCAGGGUCGAAAGACGGACUUAGUGAUCCGGUGGUUCCGCAUGGAAGGGCCAUCGCUCAACGGAUAAAAGCUACCCCGGGGAUAACAGGCUUAUCUCCCCCAAGAGUUCACAUCGACGGGGAGGUUUGGCACCUCGAUGUCGGCUCAUCGCAUCCUGGGGCUGUAGUCGGUCCCAAGGGUUGGGCUGUUCGCCCAUUAAAGCGGUACGCGAGCUGGGUUCAGAACGUCGUGAGACAGUUCGGUCCCUAUCCGUCGUGGGCGUAGGAAAUUUGAGAGGAGCUGUCCUUAGUACGAGAGGACCGGGAUGGACAUACCUCUGGUGUACCAGUUGUCGUGCCAACGGCAUAGCUGGGUAGCUAUGUGUGGACGGGAUAAGUGCUGAAAGCAUCUAAGCAUGAAGCCCCCCUCAAGAUGAGAUUUCCCAACUUCGGUUAUAAGAUC
rnacentral:rRNA from 2 species